rnacentral:rRNA from 1 species
AGUGAACGCUGGCGGUAGGCCUAACACAUGCAAGUCGAACGGCAGCACAGUAAGAGCUUGCUCUUACGGGUGGCGCGUGGCGGACGGGUGAGGAAUACAUCGGAAUCUACUUUUUCGUGGGGGAUAACGUAGGGAAACUUACGCUAAUACCGCAUACGACCUACGGGUGAAAGCAGGGGAUCUUCGGACCUUGCGCGAUUGAAUGAACCGAUGUCGGAUUAGCUAGUUGGCGGGGUAAAGGCCCACCAAGGCGACGAUCCGUAGCUGGUCUGAGAGGAUGAUAAGCCACACUGGAACUGAGGAACGGUCCAGACUCCUACGGGAGGCAGAAGGGGGGAAUAUUGGAGAAUGGGCGCAAGCCUGAUCCAGCCAUACCGCGUGGGUGAAGAAGGCCUUCGGGUUGUAAAGCCCUUUUGUUGGGAAAGAAAAGCAGCAGGUUAAUACCCCGCUGUUCUGACGGUACCCAAAGAAUAAGCACCGGCUAACUUCGUG